rnacentral:rRNA from 1 species
CCUACGGGGGGCUGCAGUGGGGAAUAUUGGACAAUGGGGGGAACCCUGAUCCAGCCAUGCCGCGUGUGUGAAGAAGGCCCUCGGGUUGUAAAGCACUUUCAGUGAGGAAGAACGCCUGGUGGUUAAUACCCAUCAGGAAAGACAUCACUCACAGAAGAAGCACCGGCUAACUCCGUGCCAGCAGCCGCGGUAAUACGGAGGGUGCGAGCGUUAAUCGGAAUUACUGGGCGUAAAGCGCGCGUAGGUGGCUUGAUAAGCCGGUUGUGAAAGCCCCGGGCUCAACCUGGGAACGGCAUCCGGAACUGUCAAGCUAGAGUGCAGGAGAGGAAGGUAGAAUUCCCGGUGUAGCGGUGAAAUGCGUAGAGAUCAGGAGGAAUACCAGUGGCGAAGGCGGCCUUCUGGACUGACACUGACACUGAGGUGCGAAAGCGUGGGUAGCAAACAGGAUUAGAUACCCUGGUAGUC